GACGAACGCUGGCGGCGUGCUUAACACAUGCAAGUCGAACGGUGAAGCUCCAGCUUGCUGGAGUGGAUCAGUAGCGAACGGGUGAGUAACACGUGAGCAACCUGCCCCAGACUCUGGAAUAAGCGCUGGAAACGGCGUCUAAUACUGGAUACGAGAGCAAGCCGCAUGGUUAUGGUCUGGUAAGUUUUUCGGUUUGGGAUGGGCUCGCGGCCUAUCAGCUUGUUGGUGGGGUAAUGGCUCACCAAGGCGACGACGGGUAGCCGGCCUGAGAGGGCGACCGGCCACACUGGGACUGAGACACGGCCAAGCCUCCUACGGGAGGCAGCAGUGGGGAAUAUUGCACAAUGGGCGAAAGCCUGAUGCAGCGACGCCGCGUGGGGGAUGACGGCCUUCGGGUUGUAACCCUCUUUCAGCAGGGAAGAAGCGAAAGUGACGGUACCUGCAGAAGAAGCACCGGCUAACUACGUG
rnacentral:rRNA from 1 species